CAGAGAUUCAUUCCUCAGCCAUAUCCAGUCUACGAAUUACUCUAUCAAAGGUUAUCCAUAGUGUGUAAAAUCUACAUGUUUUGGAGCAUAUUUUUAUUCUUAAAAAAUAGUGCUACAGAUUAUGGUGGAUAAUGCAGGUGCCCCACCACAUCCCCUAGCUGCCGUGAAUGUUGACUGCUGGAUAGUAUUCCAUCUACCUUGCUUCUUGCUUCUCUCAUUCUUCUUUUCUUAAGAGAAGCACUUCAACAAGAAUUCUUCUCAGGCUCUGCUUUUGGGGAAAGCAACCUAAGACACAGGUUCAUGAUGCUCUCUCUGGCCACCUUCCAGACAGGAAGAAAGAGCAGAGGAUCACUGUGAGAGGAAUUUGAGGAUCAAAUCCUGAAGUGGUACAUGUCACUACUGUUCAUAGUCUCUUUGCUGGAACUUGGUCCUAUGGCCCUACUGGCAGAGAGGAAGGCUAUGAAACCCAGUCUAGGCCUGCGCCUAGAAGAAGAAGAAGAAGAAACACCUUUUGAAGAACAGAGAGCAGUCUCUGUCAUACCAGGAGUACCUGUCACAUACUUGUAGAACAAAAAUCAGUAACAUUUUAAUUAUUGAAACAAUGUAACAACUUUAAACACAGUUUCAUAACUAGGAGUGAAUCACCCAUAAUCUCAUACCCGGAACAAAAUAUCUGUUAGUAUGAUGCACCUUUACAUAGCUGUAAUCUUAAAGGGCAUGUACUUCCUUCUUUGCUUUCCUUUUUUUUUUUCUUCAUCCUUUCCCUCUCUCCCUCUCUCCCUCUCUCCCUUUCUCCCUUCCUUCUUUCUUUUCUUCCUUUCUUUCUGAUUUUCUAACUUCCUUCUUUAAACAUUCCUUGAUCGUCUGUGGGUCUGGACAGCAACAUGGAGAUCAAUUAGGCGCAGCAUUUUAAAUUUGCCCUCAAGAAGUUCCACUAGUGUAAGAGUAGGCAAGUAACCAAUUAUUACAAUAGUGGGACAAGCGCUGUGAUAGAAAUAAAUACAGAGUACUGUGGCAGUCCUUACCCAGAAAAAGAUAUCUAGGGUAGAUGGUAUCUGAACUGAGAAUUAAAGAAUAAAUAGAAGAUAGCAUGGCAAAAAAAGUUCAAGAGUGUUCCAUUCUUUGAGAAUAGGGCAUUGAGAUAGAACCUGUAGACAUGAGAUAGAACUGUGUGCAUCCUGGAAAUUGCACAUGGUUCAGAUUGAUUGGGAAAUAGAGUGUGGAUGGGAAGUGAUGAAAGCUGAGUCAGUAGAGUUCGAUGGGGGUCAAAUUGUGAAAGAGUGUGAGCUCUGCUAAGGAGAUGAUAUUUUAGCUUAAAUACCAGAAGAGCCAUUGAAUUAUUUUAAGCAUAGGAGUGAUCUAAUCGGAACUCUGCUUGAGAAAGAUAACCCUGGUUGCUGUGUGAAAAAAUAUACCAGAGGCAAACAAAGUUGAAGCCAGGAGACCAGUUAAAAGACAAAAUUCAUAAUUUAUAUGAGAUAUGAUGAUAGUUUGACUUAGGCUGUGAUUGACAUUGCAGAGUAACAUAUCGCAUUCAAGAGAUGUUUGGAUGAUGAAACCAAGAGGGCUUGGAAAUUGAUUGGAUAUGAGGCAUUAGAGGAAUAUGUUAGGGCUAGAUCCCAGGAUUCUGGUUUAGAUAAUUGGAUAGACAAUUAAAGCAGAAACUAUUGAAGAAGGGGAGAAGAUAAAGAGUUUUGAUUUUCAUUUCAAUUCUAAGGUAUUCUUGGAAAUAUAAGUAGAGGAUGCUGAUGGGGGUUGGUUAUAAAGCAAAUUCAAGAGUGAGACUUCUGGAGUUAAGAUACAUAAUCGGAUCUGUAAGAAUGAAAGAAAGAAGUUGUUCAGGGACUAUGUGUACAGUAUGAAGACCAACAUAUAAAUGAAAUAUAAAAGAACAAAAGCUGACAAUGGAGUCUGUGAAAGAGCAAACAAAAAAAUGAGGAAGAGAACAGAGCAUGAAGUCACAGAAACCAAGGGAAGAAAAUUUUAGAUGCCGAUCAAAGAUCAAGGAAAAUAAAGAUAAAAAUGUGUCAAUUAGAUUUGGUAUUAAAGAAAGCAUUAGUAUCUUUUUGAAUACAAUUUUAUGGCUGCAUGGCAAAGAAUCAGAUGACUGGAAUCAGGAAGUGAAUAGAAAGUGAGAAAUGAAAAGGGCUCUCGAUAAGGUUUCCCUUAUUGAGAUAGGAGGUAAGCUCUAAUGUUUAUUUGAAGUUUUUUUUUUUCUUCCAAAGCUGGGAAAGAUUUAAUAAAGUAUGAAUGCUUUUAAGGAAAAGUUUGUAGACAGAGAUUUUUUGACAAUAGUAGAGCAAAUCAUGGCGAAAUAAUUGAUAGGAUGAGGUCCCAAGAAAGCAAGAACACUCCUUGAGGAAGAAGCUUUCCAUUUUAACAGGCAGUAACAAAGAGCAAUGAAUCAGGAUGAGUCUACGUUUGUCAGUUUAGAGUGGAAAUUGUUGGUAGAGCUCAUGGGACAACUCCUAUUUUACUUGUGACAAAAGCUUAACUGCUGAGAGCAAACAGGGUGGUGGGAUCAGCUAUUAUUUUUAAAUGGAGAAAUUUAAAAAUCACAAUUGCGAAGUAAAAUCUUUCAAGAAAGAUAGAAGAGGAAUACUGCUUAGUGCUGUGCGCCUCUUUGAAGUCAGAGUUGAUGCAGUGACCACCAUGCCAAGGGCUGCUUCGGGGCUUUCUCCCACAGCGCUCAUUGAGCUAUGUGAGAAGGCGAAGAUGGAAAAUAGGUGAAUGACAGCACACAUAUCACACGAGUUUGGCAAGAGGAUAAGUGAGGCAAGGGUAGCAGCAAGAGAGUGAAGAAAAUGCUCAGCCAGAAAACCUAAGCUGACUAUGAAAGAAGGAAAACAGUUCCACAGACUGGAGAGUUGCAAGAGAUACAGAUUAAGCAACAGUAAUUAACUGAAGAAGAAUUAAUUAACUGAAAGAAGUAAUUAACUUCUUUCUUAGAAGAAGAAGAAAAAACGGUAAUAUCCUGAGCAUGUAUGUUUUACUUUACUAUGACAUAAAGAGUCCACGGAGAUCUAAAUAAAUAUUUGUUGAAUGAUGAACGAGUGGAUUUUUCUGUGUGCACAUAUAAACUUUCACCUGUUAUUAUACACCUAGGUUGCUUUUAUUUUCAGUUUGUUUUUGAAAUUAUCAGUAGAGUUUUUCUUUCAGAGUGUAC
rnacentral:lncRNA from 10 species